CAUCAUCAUCACCAUCCCUGAUUAGUCUUCGGGCGUUUGGUGCUGGAAGACAAGGUCUUCCGGUUAAGCGCAAAAGAUUCACAGAGCCCUCGGAAGAUCCUCUUCCGAGGGUUUUUUA
rnacentral:sRNA from 1 species